UGAAUACGAGACGCUAAGGCGUUGAAGUAGUGUAUGUCAUACUUCCAAGAAAAGCUUGCACUGUCAUAGAUAAAAAACGCCUGUACCAUAACCGACACAGGUGGGUAGGUAGAGUAUACUAAGGGGCGCGAGAUAACUCUCUCUAAGGAACUCGGCAAAAUAACUCCGUAACUUCGGGAGAAGGAGUGCCUUAUUUAUAAGGCUGCAAUAACAAGAUCCAAGCAACUGUUUAUCAAAAACACAGGUCUCCGCUAAGUCGUAAGACGAUGUAUGGGGGCUGACGCCUGCCCAGUGCCAGAAGGUUAAAGAAGUUGGUUAGCAAUAGCGAAGCUGAUAACUGAAGCCCUGGUGAACGGCGGCCGUAACUAUAACGGUCCUAAGGUAGCGAAAUUCCUUGUCGGGUAAGUUCCGACCCGCACGAAAGGCGUAAUGAUUUGGAUACUGUCUCGGAGAGGGGCUCGGUGAAAUAGACUUGUCUGUGAAGAUGCGGACUACCUGCACCAGGACAGAAAGACCCUAUGAAGCUUUACUGUAACUUGAAAUUGAAAUUGGACUUUAUUCGCGCAGUAUAGGUGGGAGGCGUUGAUUGUAAUCUUGCGGGAUUAUUGGAGCCAUCAGUGAGAUACCACCCUUGUAAUGUUAGAUUUCUAACUUUGAAUCAUUAUCUGGUCAAAGAACAGUUUCAGGCGGGCAGUUUGACUGGGGCGGUCGCCUCCUAAACGGUAACGGAGGCGUACAAAGGUUUCCUCUGAACGGUUAGAAAUCGUAUCUAGAGUGUAAAGGCAUAAGGAAGCUUGACUGUGAGGCCUACAAGUCGAGCAGGGACGAAAGUCGGUCUUAGUGAUCUGACGGUACUGAGUGGAAAGGCCGUCACUCAACGGAUAAAAGUUACUCUAGGAUAACAGGCUGAUCUCCCCCAAGAGUUCACAUCGACGGGGAGGUUUGGCACCUCGAUGUCGGCUCAUCGCAUCCUGGGGCGGUAGUACGUCCCAAGGGUUGGGCUGUUCGCCCAUGAAAGCGGUACGCGAGCUGGGUUCAGAAUGUCGUGAGACAGUUCGGUCCAUAUCCGGUGUAGGCGUUAGAAUAUUGAGAGGAGCCUUCUUUAGUACGAGAGGACCGAGAAGGACAUACCUCUGGUGUACCAGUUAUCGUGCCAACGGUAAACGCUGGGUAGCUAUGUAUGGAGUGGAUAACCGCUGAAAGCAUCUAAGUGGGAAGCCCACCUCAAGAUAAGUAUUCU
rnacentral:rRNA from 1 species